AUUCUGGGCCUUCUUAUUCGGGCCUCCAUCGUAACGGGUCCAUGCCCGCAACCAGAUUGCUCCCGAAACCGCGAGCUAGAGGCAAGGUCUGAAUUCAUUCGCAGCGAUCGAAGACGAAGACGAAGAUGGAAAAAAAGAGAAAAAUCGAGGCCCGAAAAGGAUCUCAAAUUUGAGAAAAAUCUUAUUAGGGUUUUGGGGUUCGAGGCGGCAGAGAUUUUGUUGGGGGGCAUUCCACAAAAGGAAGAAGAAGAGGAGGUUAAAGCGCAGCGAGGCACGAAAUGGCCCUUUUCUAACGACGAGACGGAGAUUGGCCCUCGAGUGCAAAGGCAUAAGGCGCAGGAGGUGAGCCGUGAGCGGUAACGGGCUAACAGCGAUUGGUUCGGUGAGGUUGUCAGCAACGGCUGCCGGGCUGCGGCGAUCUCGAGAUGGAGAGGGAAGAAGAGAGAGAUUGACGAGAGGUGGGGAUCAGCCGAUCAGGGUAGGGUUGAGCCGUUGAGGUUGACGUUUGGUGGAAGCUUGACUGCUACUGCCGGGUAUCACUUCUGAAAAUGUUGCACACUGUUUUGGGGUCACUCGAGAGGAGCAGGUUGAGUCUAUAAGAGGGUUGCAGCAGCAACUACCGCUGGUAACUUUAAGGAAGAAAUCAUACCUGUAACCUCAAAGUAAAUGUCUAUUUUCUUUUGAAUAAUAAUUAGUGUUCCUUUUAUUUUAUUCUUGUCUUUUUUCUGAGAAUUGGGCAUGACUUUAGUUUUAUAACUACACACUUGAGGUCAGUAAGCCAUGCAAAUGAUCAGUUGAAAGAGAGGAUGCGAUCUAUACCUUAUGUUCAGCAAAUUUGGAGUCAGGACUUGGCAGCAACCGAUAGUAUUACAACACUUAUCAUCGUUAGUGAUUCGAUGUCUAUGUCAACACAGUUUAAAGUGUCAAUAAUAUAUACAUAUAGUAAACAAAGUUUGUCUUGUUUUCUACUGACAUUGAUAAAUGGGUAAGAGAGAUCCAAGAAUAGACACUUGAGAUAAUGUAACACCUGUUGUUUCAACAAACUUCACAAGUUUAAAUCAUCGUAAUUUCUGGAAAGUCCUCAAUGAUACAAAUGAUGAGAAUAUCAAAAGUUAGAUUUUACUUUUCUUUGACUUAGUCUUUUCUCUCCUGAUAUUUUCCAGAGUAUAAUCUCCUAUAUGACAGUGACAACGCAACCUUUACUAGUUCACGAAGAUUAAGACAUAGCAUUUAUUAGUUGUAUAAUCUCCUAUAUGACAGUGACAACGCAACCUUUACUAGUUCACGAAGAUUAAGACAGCAUUUAUUAGUUUACAGUUUGCUUAAGAAGUUAUCGCUUCUUGUUGUGCUUUUAUUUGUUUCUUUCACGCAAUGUUUCAUCAUGAAGAUUGUUGACCAAAAAACUUGAGAAGAAAAGUAAAUUACAGUUUCUGUGGAUGAAGGAAUCCGUCCAAACACCUCUAUGGCAGGCCUUGCAAAACUCAGACCUGCAUUUCAUACGACUGCUGGUAUUGACUUUAUCUUGUAUAAUUUGUCAGGAACAGAGAUUAUUCAUCUUCUGUUUUUACUUUUAUUUGGUCCAUGUAAUUGUAGUGCUAGUCAGGUAAGUAAUGGUGCUUUUUCAGAGAAGUGUUGCAAUGCAAAAGGGGCUGCACUUGGCAUUUUCAGUUUGAAAUUUCGCUGAAGUCAUGUCUCAGCAUGGUUCAGAUCAUAAAGGAUUCAAUGAUCAAGAACUCCAGAAUGAAAAUGAAAAUGAAAAUGGAAGUACUUCAGUUGAGAAAAUGUAUUCCUGCAGGUUCUGCGACGAAGUAUUCAGUUGUAGACGAGCACUCGGUGGGCGUCAAAGUGCCCAUAGAAAGGAGGCGUUCAGCUGAUCGAGAAAAGCUCUAACCGACAAACACAAUAUGAUCCAUUUGAUCCAUUCUCAUUGGCGUCAUCGAUGCUCAUGCCAUGUCCAUGCAUGGAAGCAUCUAAUUAUCUUCGCAUUCAAUGGCAAGACGCCAAGACUGUUACGUUUAUCCUUCCACCAACCGUGAUCGUACCCGCUACCAUCCAUAUCAUUACUCGCCAAAUUGUUAUUUUGGGCCUCUUGUGGAAGUACCCUAGCCUUAGGUGGUUUGGGAACUCUUUGUAUGGAAUGCAUGUUUCAAGAGGGUUAAAAAUAGAAAAAGAUGAAAGUUUGACGAAGUUCCUCAAUGAGCAUAAUGGCAAUUAUGAAUGCGGAUCAUUAUCUGGAGAGAAGGAGAAUAGAGCGUUAAUGGAUGCAAUCCAAUAAUAAUCGAUCAACUAGUUUGAGUUAUUUGUUAUCGAUCAACUAGUUUGAGUUAUUUGUUAUCGGUAAAUGUUAGAUGCAGCUCUAAAUUAGUGACACAAGUUUGUAUUUAUGAUAUACUAUCUUAAAUUCAAUGAGCAGUAAUUAAGCACUUCUAUGCU